rnacentral:lncRNA from 1 species
AUGAGAGGGCAAAGUCUGAAGUUAUUGUUGGGUUGUUUUAGGCAAGCUUUCACAUUGAUUCUGGUGCAACAUAAGGUUAAGUAUUGCAGGACAGUGCUACUGAGAGUAUUUGGAGUUGAACUGGGCUCUGACUCCGAAGGACCAUCCUGUGUAUGGCAGAUACUGGUGAGGCAACAGCUCGUGGUUUGGGUAACCUCAGUAACACCACAGGGGUAAGGCUGGUAUAUGCAGUCCUGCAUCCCUUGCACGUUCUAGAAGUGUUUUCUGCAUCAUACCAUAUAUGAAAAGAUAUUUUUUAGUUGUUUUUAAAUCCUUUCCAUGUCCUUGCCUUACCUAUUUUCUA